CUUUCAACUGCUUAUUUUGUAACAUUUUUAAUCAGUUUCUUCUUGUCUUCCAUUUUUUUUUCUACAGAGAGCAGAGGACUGGAGACAAUGUGAAGUUUGAAUUUUCAGAAUUAGAUAAAAUUUGAUUGAAUGAUUAGAUUUGAAUUUGAUAUUUGUCACUGUCAUUUGAAGUUUACAAUUACAGUUUUUCCAUAUGUGUAACUUCCUAAACUCUGUUCCUACAUGUCUUCCACAGAGGAGCGGAUGCAAUGUGAAAUCCUAACUCUCUCAUGUUAACAGUAGAGUACAGGAGACAACAUGAAGUUUGACGACUCUUAAAUUCAUGCAUAGUUUAUUUUCAUGUUAUGAUCUAGUUUCAUCAUUUGCUCAUCUGGAUUUUGAUGUUUUUUCACCACUGACUGCUUUUUUCCUCCAUUUGUUUUUAAGAGAGAAGAGGAGAGAAUGGGCGAGAAUAUGAGCCGUGAAUAUUUUCACUUCAGGGGUAAUACAGUGAAACGGAUCCCUGAGUUCAAUGAGGACUUCUGUCGACAUCAAGGGGAAUUUGCCAUGGCCAGUGGACUUUUUAUGACUAAUAAAUGCUGAUUAAAACAUCCA